rnacentral:rRNA from 1 species
CCCUUAGAUGUCCUGGGCCGCACGCGCGCUACACUGAGUGUCUGAGAUACGAGUCUGCCUGGUCCGGCAAGGUCUAGGUAAUCGCUAAAAGACACAUCAUGCUUGGGAUAGAUAAUUGCAAAUAUUAAUCUUGAACGAGGAAUUCCUAGUAAGCGCAAGUCAACAGCUUGCGUUGAUUACGUCCCUGCCCUUUGUACACACCGCCCGUCGCUACUACUGAUUGGAUGUUUAAGCGAGGUUCUCGAACUGCUAGCGACUUAGCUUCGGUGAGGUCGCAGUGUGGGAAGUGAACCUAGCUUUGGUGUCUAGAGGAAGUAAAAGUCGUAACA